rnacentral:rRNA from 1 species
CAUGCAAGUCGAGGGGAAACGACAUCGAAAGCUUGCUUUUGAUGGGCGUCGACCGGCGCACGGGUGAGUAACGCGUAUCCAACCUGCCCAUCACUUGGGGAUAACCUUGCGAAAGUAAGACUAAUACCCAAUGAUAUCUCUAGAAGACAUCUGAAAGAGAUUAAAGAUUUAUCGGUGAUGGAUGGGGAUGCGUCUGAUUAGCUUGUUGGCGGGGUAACGGCCCACCAAGGCUACGAUCAGUAGGGGUUCUGAGAGGAAGGUCCCCCACAUUGGAACUGAGACACGGUCCAAACUCCUACGGGAGGCAGCAGUGAGGAAUAUUGGUCAAUGGACGAGAGUCUGAACCAGCCAAGUAGCGUGCAGGAUGACGGCCCUAUGGGUUGUAAACUGCUUUUAUAAGGGAAUAAAGUGAGCCUCGUGAGGCUUUUUGCAUGUACCUUAUGAAUAAGGACCGGCUAAUUCCGUGCCAGCAGCCGCGGUAAUACGGAAGGUCCGGGCGUUAUCCGGAUUUAUUGGGUUUAAAGGGAGCGUAGGCCGGAGAUUAAGCGUGUUGUGAAAUGUAGAUGCUCAACAUCUGCACUGCAGCGCGAACUGGUUUCCUUGAGUACGCACAAAGUGGGCGGAAUUCGUGGUGUAGCGGUGAAAUGCUUAGAUAUCACGAAGAACUCCGAUUGCGAAGGCAGCUCACUGGAGCGCAACUGACGCUGAAGCUCGAAAGUGCGGGUAUCGAACAGGAUUAGAUACCCUGGUAGUCCGCACGGUAAACGAUGGAUGCCCGCUGUUGGUCUGAAUAGGUCAGCGGCCAAGCGAAAGCAUUAAGCAUCCCACCUGGGGAGUACGCCGGCAACGGUGAAACUCAAAGGAAUUGACGGGGGCCCGCACAAGCGGAGGAACAUGUGGUUUAAUUCGAUGAUAC